GUUGGGUAGGGGAGCGUUCUGUAAGCCUGUGAAGGUGGCCUGUGAGGGUUGCUGGAGGUAUCAGAAGUGCGAAUGCUGACAUAAGUAACGAUAAAGCGGGUGAAAAGCCCGCUCGCCGGAAGACCAAGGGUUCCUGUCCAACGUUAAUCGGGGCAGGGUGAGUCGACCCCUAAGGCGAGGCCGAAAGGCGUAGUCGAUGGGAAACGGGUUAAUAUUCCCGUACUUGGUGUUACUGCGAAGGGGGGACGGAGAAGGCUAUGUUGGCCGGGCGACGGUUGUCCCGGUUUAAGCGUGUAGGCUGGUUUUCCAGGCAAAUCCGGAAAAUCAAGGCUGAGGCGUGACGACGAGGCACUACGGUGCUGAAGCAACAAAUGCCCUGCUUCCAGGAAAAGCCUCUAAGCAUCAGGUAACAUCAAAUCGUACCCCAAACCGACACAGGUGGUCAGGUAGAGAAUACCAAGGCGCUUGAGAGAACUCGGGUGAAGGAACUAGGCAAAAUGGUGCCGUAACUUCGGGAGAAGGCACGCUGACACGUAGGUGAAGUGAUUUACUCAUGGAGCUGAAGUCAGUCGAAGAUACCAGCUGGCUGCAACUGUUUAUUAAAAACACAGCACUGUGCAAACACGAAAGUGGACGUAUACGGUGUGACGCCUGCCCGGUGCCGGAAGGUUAAUUGAUGGGGUCAGCGCAAGCGAAGCUCCUGAUCGAAGCCCCGGUAAACGGCGGCCGUAACUAUAACGGUCCUAAGGUAGCGAAAUUCCUUGUCGGGUAAGUUCCGACCUGCACGAAUGGCGUAAUGAUGGCCAGGCUGUCUCCACCCGAGACUCAGUGAAAUUGAACUCGCUGUGAAGAUGCAGUGUACCCGCGGCAAGACGGAAAGACCCCGUGAACCUUUACUAUAGCUUGACACUGAACAUUGAGCCUUGAUGUGUAGGAUAGGUGGGAGGCUUUGAAGUGUGGACGCCAGUCUGCAUGGAGCCGACCUUGAAAUACCACCCUUUAAUGUUUGAUGUUCUAACGUGGACCCGUAAUCCGGGUUGCGGACAGUGUCUGGUGGGUAGUUUGACUGGGGCGGUCUCCUCCUAAAGAGUAACGGAGGAGCACGAAGGUUGGCUAAUCCUGGUCGGACAUCAGGAGGUUAGUGCAAUGGCAUAAGCCAGCUUGACUGCGAGCGUGACGGCGCGAGCAGGUGCGAAAGCAGGUCAUAGUGAUCCGGUGGUUCUGAAUGGAAGGGCCAUCGCUCAACGGAUAAAAGGUACUCCGGGGAUAACAGGCUGAUACCGCCCAAGAGUUCAUAUCGACGGCGGUGUUUGGCACCUCGAUGUCGGCUCAUCACAUCCUGGGGCUGAAGUAGGUCCCAAGGGUAUGGCUGUUCGCCAUUUAAAGUGGUACGCGAGCUGGGUUUAGAACGUCGUGAGACAGUUCGGUCCCUAUCUGCCGUGGGCGCUGGAGAACUGAGGGGGGCUGCUCCUAGUACGAGAGGACCGGAGUGGACGCAUCACUGGUGUUCGGGUUGUCAUGCCAAUGGCACUGCCCGGUAGCUAAAUGCGGAAGAGAUAAGUGCUGAAAGCAUCUAAGCACGAAACUUGCCCCGAGAUGAGUUCUCCCUGAGACUUAGAGUCUCCUGAAGGAACGUUGAAGACGACGACGUUGAUAGGCCGGGUGUGUAAGCGCAGCGAUGCGUUGAGCUAACCGGUACUAAUGAACCGUGA
rnacentral:rRNA from 1 species